ACAACUGCUUCAUUCCAAAGGGGUUACAAAAGCAGCUGCUGACGCCUGGCCGUGGUGAAGGUGCGGACUGGCGGGUGCCAGCUCAGGACGUAGGCCAGUCUGAGAGGUCCUGGUGAGCACCACCGUGGAUGUGAUACACACAGGUAAGGGAGGUGACUGCAGCCGACACAGAAGAAUGUUCUGAGAUUUAAUUACUUACAUGAGUAGCAAGGAAGAAGAAAAGAAAUAGUUAUGGUCCAGAGGGAGCAACGUGUAACACCUGAAGCAAUCACUGUAAGUACUGAAUGCCUGAACUUGAGAACUGGUUGAUGCGGUUUGUCACUAGGGUUGUGUGUGAAGAUCAGGUAACAUCAGAGGCUUGUGGCUCUUAUGGUUUCCAAGGAAUAUGAUUUAAGGAAAAGAGAAAAAGACCAACUAAAGCAGCUCUGAACAGCAACUAAAUCCAUUUGAGGCGAUUCCCAGAACAAGUUUUGACAGCCUGAAUAUCCCGGAAACUGCCAAGAGGAGGAAGGACCUUUGAAUCACAAUGAAGUUCUUGUUCUCCUGGGAUUCAAGAGAACCCAUUUCCUCUGACUGACAGCACAAAAAGGUCACUGGGUUUUUUCUUUUGGUGAUUAAUGUGACCUGGACAACCCUGAAGAGCAAAGCAGGAGGUGUACGCAGUUCUUACAAGCUGAGGGAAUGGCAGGUACUUGCUUUGCUGCUCUCCAGAAUUUCAAAGUGCCUGAAGCCCAGGAACAGGAGAACCAUAUGGCACUUGUCCCAGCACAGACACAACAAAACCUGCCCAUGAAAGGAGCAGGGCAAGGACAGAGCAGAGGAACAGCUCUUGCCAGGGGACUACCUUACCAGCUCUGCCAAAACAGGCAGAAAGAUGAUAAUGGUGGCCGUGUUGCUGGCAAACUCCGUGAACAAGGCGAUGACAAUUGUGAUGAGGAUGACAGCCACAGGCGGCGGUACUCCCUCCAAGGGGUGCAGGCGGCCUCCUAUCCAGACAGACAAACCAGACUCCUGCAGAAAGGGAAAACAAACACGCUGGAGAGCAGAGCUCUGGCCUCCCUGAACAUAAAUGGAUCCCUCCUAGAACUGCAAGUUACACACGACCUUCACUGACCCACACAAGCACCGGUGGGAAGUGUCCUCAGGGUGUGUAACAACCAGCAGUUUGAAAGGAGCUGCAAGAUGUCUUAACCUCCUUAGUUAUCUGCUCCAUAUCAUCAUGACUUGGAGCUGCAAAACACUACCUUCAGGAGCUGUGACCCUGCAGAUGCAAAUCUCCCAGAGCCAAACAAGAAACCAAGUGACACCCUGAUAAGAUCCAGCUCCGUCGGACAGGAUGACUGCAGCGUGGUGUCUGCAGCAGGUCUCACCUCACAGCCCUUGGCCAUGGCAAAGCCUCCUCCGAGCAGCAAGAUGAUGUUCCAGGGCACCGUCUCUUGGGCCUUCCUCCAAGUCAGCAAGGGCUGCAUCUCCGUGUUUGGUGCUAAACGAAGAAAACAACCCUCACGUCAAACACCCAUCCAAAGAGGACCACGUCAGUCAUCAUCUGAUACAACGAGCUCAUGGACCUGACACCAGGGCUGGAGCUUACUAAACAUGAGUUGCUCAUAAAAUAUACAUAUGGAAGCUCUUAAGGCAGACAAUCAAGAGACCAUUUAAGUUAACAUCAAAUCUUAAAAAAAAAAAAAAAUAAAUAAAUUCUAGAACUUCAAGAUUUCUUUGAGGCUUUCUUGAGGGAACAUUUAAUAUCAGGUUAAUUUUUUCUCUGUAACAGACAUAAACAUUAUCUUCAACAGAUGGUAGUCUGUGGAAGGAGGACAUUUUCUAACAUUUCAAUUAUGAAGAUAUUAUUAAUUCUCCACUUGCUGUUCAAUAGCCAGCAAGUUUUAUGGCAAAGAGCUCAUCUUCCCUAAAGGCCACCUCUCAAUUCAUGGUGAAGUGAGCCCUGUCACAUGAAGGACGCACCAAUGGGACUGCAAUUUUCUGCUGAACAAGGGCACACCUCUUUUACCCAGAGGAGCUGAUUCAACAUCUUCCUGCACAUGAACAACACGACAAGUGUGCAUGAAUCAGAGCAACAGCAGUAACUGGUAUUUUGUUCCCACAGACCCUGGGCAGUGCUGCACCAUCCAUGAAGGGAUCGUCAGCUGCAUCUCCACAUUAACACCAAGUGGCUUAUGAAUUAAAAUUUUUAUCUCAUCGCUACUUGAAAAGAGAAACUCAAGACCACAAAAGAAGACUCCCGGUACCAGAACCUGCUGGUGAGUUUGGGCUUUAGGAGUUUAAAUUCUGAGUCAUUCUUAGGGACUGAGGAAGGGCCAUUAUUACUGAAUAUGGACAACUCGCCCAGCCCUGCCCUCUGGGAGGUUCCUGCUCCCACCUGAGGGACAGGAGCUGUUUGGGAGUCAGCAACCAAACCUCUGCAACACUGAUUUCAGUUUUCUUCAGCCCACCCAAGGGUUAUCUCUGACAGCUGCGUGAGCGCCUGAGUCACCCCUGCAGCCCGCAGCAGGCGGCGACUGCUGAACCUCUCCUGGCACUUCAGGAACAGACACUCUGCAACCGCGCCGCCGAACCACGGUGCUGCGGCCAGCCGGCGGGGCGGGCGCGCACGGCCCAAGGAGGGGCAUGUUGUCUCCUGCUUGGUGCCGGCCCUGCCAGCGCGCAGGUGAGGGCAGAGUCCCGCCCCGAGCGGUCCCCUACUCACCUUUCAGGUCAAACCACCACCUGAAGGAAGGUUUUUGCGAAGGGAAGAAGAACAAAAUAAUCACAAUGGUGAUUCCAGUAACCGCAUCUGAGAUAAACCUGUCCAAAAACAGCAGAAACACUGGUAAGAAAAAGCCUGUAAAACAACAAAGUUCAUGAGAACAGGGAUUUACAAAAGAAGAUUACAAGUUUCCAUCAGGUUUGAACAAGGUUCAUUGUUCACAGUUCUGUUCUUUUUAAUUCCCUGUCGAGCUGCAUUUCUAAGAUGGGCUUUGAAACCCCUAGAAAACUGCUCUGCAAACGUAAACACCGAGAUCUAAUCCCCACCGCACUGAUGCUCUGGCUGUUCUGCUCGUGGAAUUGUGGUCAGUCCAUGACGGGUUGCGAGGACAAAUUUCCCCAGCUCAUUGCAAGGAAGAAGGGAUGCAGAGCCCAGACCUCUUCGCAAAAUGAUCAGACUGUACGGUGAAAGGCAAGCUCCAUACAGUAAAGAGCUUAAGCAUGUUUUUGAUUGUAAGGAACUAUUAACUGAUGAGGAAAAAGUCUAUAAUUACUUUGCUGUAUUAAGGAAUCAUUUAUUAAGCUAGGUUUUAUUGAAAAAUAAAAUGAAGGUCUCUUCCAUUAAGAAAUAAUACCACCCUCUUUCACACCGACUGCUAUAUCCAUUCAUCCUCCCAAGGUAUGGAUGCCACAAGGGAGACAAACUCAUCAAACAGACAGGAUAGCAGAAGGGAUGAGCUCUUGCCAUCCACCUUCAGCCUCCAGACCUCCAGUGGAUAAAGAGUUCAGUAUUUCACUGCAAAUGUACCUAUAAGCACCAUUCUCAACAUUAAAACCCUAGGGGUGGUCUCAGAUACACACGUGACAACUUCCCACUGGGUUUCAUGUACCUCCUCCAAGAGAAAGAAACAAUAAAGCUGGCUCUGCUUCUCAAAGCUCAGCUUAAUUUAUUCCAGGAAACCUGAGCAAUAGUGUUAAGCGAUACAAAGAGAAACCCCAGAAUCUCAAUGACUUGGAAAGCCUAUUGAAAAAUACGACAGUGCAAUGAAAAUAAAGUCUUACCCUGGUGCAAACAAGCUUGCCCAACCUGGAAUGAAUUUGGGAUCCCUGGAGAAGAGCAUGAUUGCAAAGAUGCAGAAAAAGAAGAAAAUUGCCUGUUCUGCAAACCUAAAAUGGAAAGAAAUGCAGUUAAAGUGCUGCUGUGCUAAAGGGGUCGAUCCAACCUAGGACAAGUAUGGAGCUGAGGCUGCAGCAGAUUAGCACAGGUACAGACAAUUGUCUUUGAAGAACCACUCCAUUUUCCACUCAACAGCAAUAAUUACAAUGUUGAUAGCAAGACACAAACAUCACUGAAUCUUCACAGCAUCGCUGGUUUACAGGGCUCUCCGGGACGGCUUCUCCUACCUCUUCAGCUGUCCCAGGAGGAUGAGGUUUGGCGCAGUUCCCGUCAGCGUUGCUGUACCUCCGAUGCUGGCUGCAUACGGGAUUGAGAUGAGGAAACCUUUCCAUAUAUUUGUUUUGUAUUCCUCCUCUUUCUUUAAAUCUGAGAGCGUAUCACUGGUAACCUCCUUCUCCUCGGUCAGAUCUUUGCUUUAAAAUAGUCCAAAAGAGAAUCCAGUGAAAACCCUGGUUUAAAUACAGUGCAACCACUUCAGAGCCUUGACAGAAGGAAAUUUCCCAGUUUUUUAGAAAUCCAAGCUAACCCUGAGCAGCCGUGCGGCUGAGGGGCCUGCUCGGGGAGCUGCCACUUGGGACCGGCCGCCCUGCACAGGGCAGAGCACCAUCGGCACCCGUCCGCGGGAGCUGAGGGCACACGUGCCUUGCCCAGCCCCUCAGCAACUGUAACACUCGGCAUGAGGUCCACAGGACCGCUAAAAGGAAAAAAGAGUACAUAUAUAUAUAUAUAGCACUGAGAGGAGAGAAACAUCUGUUCCUGAAAAGAUGCUUCUUUCCCACCAUUGUUAUCAAAACAGGACCAUCACCGGUGUGUAAAUCCUGGUGGCUUCUACAUCACCAGCUUCACACACUUGAUGUUCCUGAGAAAAACCAAGGCAGAAUUCCGCAGCAGGAGACACCUCUGGCUACCAUUUCAGAGUGGCUGGCAAAUCUCUGCAGUAAUUUGAACAUGCAGAGGGAUGCUAGACACACAGAGGAGGAUUUCUAUCAUCAGGCUGCUUAGUGAUUGGAAUGUUUGGUAUAAUCAAAACAUUUCAAUUAUUGAAUUUCAAAUUCCUAAAACUUAGUCUAGCUCAGGGGAUAAUUCUCUCUCAACUCUCUAAUACAAACUUUAUAGUUAACUUACUCCUCAGUACUUGCCAGAAACUGCAUCUCAGUUGGUACAGUGUAAAGUUUAUUCUGCUGUAAAGAUGCUGAAAAAGAAAGAUGAGGACUUUAAAACAGUUCAAAGCAUCUAGAAAAUUCUCCUUGAACCAAACAGAGGAACGGAGGAAACUGCUGUUUACAGACGAGGGGCCGCGCAAUGGAAGUGCAGGCUCGGGCCGCGGGGCCAGGAGCGCCUGGCAGGGGUGAAUAAGCCCGUCUCUUCUUGCCACCGCUCCGGUCCCACUGCAGCACCCAGCUUCUCCAAUACCCAGACACUCGGUCCUUUCACUGCCGCCACUGGUUGGACUCUGGGGUCUUCUAAUGUGACCAGGAGUUCCAGGGUGUCCCUUAUCAAGUCACAGGUCUGGGGUGGGCUUUUUAAGGGAGGUUUAGCCUAAGCUUAUUCUUGGGAAGCAAAAUUGUUUGGUCUGAUGUAUCUGUGAGGCACGUUCCCCAAGGUACAGCAGGAACGCUCCCUGCUACCGAGCUCCAUUCCCAGGGGAUGAGAAUUCUACUCCUUGCAGACAGCUAGCGCAAAGUCACCAUAAAACUGUAACUGACUCUUUAAAGACAAGAUUGGGACACAUUUGGGGAAUAGGCUUCAAACCAGGCCCUCUGAAAUCCACCCCAACAGCAUGGGCUGUUCGCAAGCCCAGCAUCCCCUCUGUAAAUGACAGAGCCUGCAGGUUGUGCAACCAGUCCCCAGCACAAGCUUAGGACCACCCCAGGGAUUCUGUUGCACACCCCAUCUCCAGGGACCAUCCUGCAUAUCUCACAUGGGCUCGGCCUCACUGUCCUUAUCACCAACCACAGGGAACACAGGCAGGACUCAGGAGCACUUGGGGAAAGGGUUCAUUUUGACCAGAACAACCAAUGUUUUCUUUGGCAGUAAACUGGGAGGUGCACACCACUCUACCACACACAUAUAUAGGAGAAAUCCAAAAAUCAAAAGACAGAAAUGCAAUACAAUCACCGUUUUUUUACAAGAUCUCACACUAAGGCUUGUGACAUUUGCAGUCUGGCUCAUGGUUUGACCUCGUGAGGCUGGGAGUAGACAAGUGCCGUUAAACCCAGCUUUCAACCUUCCUCCUCAGAACUGAGUAACUUGUGAGCUUUAUCCACCUUCAGGCCAGGUGGCCCUUCCCCAUCACCACUGGCUCUGCUGCCUUUCCUAGGGCUCUUUGUCUGGUUUUGGGUCCCUGCACCUCCCCAGGUUUUGCAUGUAGACCCCAUUUCCUGCCACUGCCACCCCAGCAUUCCCCAAGUUUUUCUUGCCCCCCCUCCUCAGGCUGAAACACCGUCCUCUUUUACCCAUAUAUGCACUGAAGACCAAAAGCCGUUGAUGGGGAAGGGCCAGCGGUCAAAGUCUCUGGACUUGCUCACAUGUACACCAGAGACACCAAGCUCAUUCCAGCUCAGUGAACCAAGGAAUUUUGCAAAGUCAUGUUUUACACAUUGCUAAUUUACCAAAUUGCAGUUAAUUGGUUUGGAUGCACACAUGCUGAGCUUUCAUCCCCACCAUGCCAUGGCUGAAGGAUGUAAUUAGAAGGACAGACAUUAACCGAUGGCCGACUGUUGAUCCCCCAAAGCAUUUAGCCCAAGGCCUCUUAGCACUGAUGUCCCAUUCAGCCUUAGUGCUGGCUCUGCAAAGAGAUGGAUUUCAUUCCACCUCUUAACAUUUUUCAUUUUUUUCCCUGCUUGGCCCAAGCUCCCAUCCCAUUUGCCAGGACCAUCUGAGUUCCCUUUGCAGAGCCUGCUCGUGGUAACCGUGCAAAGGAAAGCCAGAGUUUCUGCAGAGCAAACUUUUCCUGUGAAACUUGUAAAAAGGAUUUGAAAAUUCUUACAGGUCCAUAAGUCAGAACAGGCCACAGACCACUGAGGUAGGACCUGGCUGUACACACCUCCCACAGAGCCAUAUAAGAAGGAUUCAGUGGCCAUUUCACAGAAAUAACUCAUAUCUCAGAGGCUUGUCCUAGAAAAGUUUGGCUUUAAUCGCCUUUUAAUUGUUUCUAAAAAACUGAAAAGGCCUGAGAAGAACUGUGCUGAGCCAGCGAGGCACAGGCAGCGGCGCUGGGGCCACGUUGUGCCAGCACGGGCCACUGGCCGCCAAACCAGGCAGCAAUGUCCAAAAACGCUUAUUUCCCACCUGCCCCUUUGGAGACAUCACUUCCAGGUCCAUGACCCACCAAGACACCUCAAGCACUGCCUGCAGUUUAUCAUGAAUUUGAAGAUGAUACUGGAAAAAAAAGGGUGGAAAUAUUUUCCUGUAAUUUUUACCUGUAGAUAUUUAAGCUGCUCAGAGAAAUGAAACAUCGCCAACGGUGGGCCAGUGGGCAGAGAACAGGAGAGAUGGCCAGGCUCACUAGCACAGCAGUUUCCCCUUUGCCACGCGCCUAUUACACUGUUUGUGUUUAGGGCUGGAGAUGUCAGACAGAAUUGUAGGAAUCUGUAACCCAGCUCCAAAACAAAAAUUCUGGAAGUCAGAAAAAGCUUUUGACCUAUAACAUGCUGUCCACACAGUGGAACGUAGACACAAGUGAUUGCAACCUUGAGGUUCUCUCAUCAGCAAAAAACUGUGACCAGCUGAUCAGACACAUCCCUUUAAUCCUGGCAUGUGUGUGUAAGCAAAGCCCUUCACAAAGCUGAUUUCAUACACUUGUUGAGAGUUCCUCAGAAAAUCAAAUGUCUUUACAUGCUACAUAUUCUUUAAUACAUUUUUAAAUAAAUUUUAUUUUAGACAGUUAAAUAUUUUUUAGCCUGCUUGGCCCUAUUACAGUGUCAUUAAAGUAUAUCCAAGCAAAUUUGCAAACUGACCUUACCAUAUGCCAUUGUGAAAGUUGGCUUCCACAUGCGGUCCACAAAUGAAUCUGCCUGUCUUUUCUGACACACAGAUUACAAUUCAGAUUAUAAAACGGACUAUACCUUUUUCUCAAACGUGUUCCUUACAUUCAGUCAGGUUUCACCAGGUCUGUGAAAACACUCACAGAAAUAACCCCACUGGAGAUGUGCAGCCAGCCCUGGCUGCCGCUGACACCCCACAGCCAGAAAGCUCGCCUUCGCUGCCCCGCUCCAGGGUGUAACGCUGGAUCCGGCACUCUUGACUGACUUCAGCUUUAGGGCUUCCUUCAAGGAAGUCAGCUUUUCCUCAUCCAUUCAGAAAGAUUACAGAAAAGGACGGGUCUACUUUGGGAGACUCAAGUCCAGAUUAAAAGUCUAUGAGAAAACCUGCA